rnacentral:rRNA from 1 species
UACGUAGGUGGCAAGCGUUGUCCGGAUUUACUGGGCGUAAAGGGCGUGCAGGCGGUCUGUUAAGUGCAGGGUGAAAGCUCCCGGCUCAACUGGGAGAGGUCCUUGCAUACUGGCGGACUUGAGGGGGGUAGAGGAAAGUGGAAUUCCCGGUGUAGUGGUGAUAUGCGUAGAUAUCAGGAAGAACACCGAUGGCGAAGGCAGCUCUCUGGGACGGUACUGACGCUGAGACGCGAAAGCGUGGGGAGCGAACAGG